rnacentral:rRNA from 1 species
AAAUGUGAUCAUACCAGCACUAAUGUACCGGAUCCCAUCAUAAUUCCGCAUUCAAGCGUGCUUGGGCAAGAGUAGUACUAGGAUGGGUGACCUCUCGGAAAGUCCUCGUGUUGCAUCCC